rnacentral:rRNA from 1 species
UUCCUACGGGAGGCAGCAGUGAGGAAUAUUGGUCAAUGGGCGAGAGCCUGAACCAGCCAAGUCGCGUGAAGGAUGACGGCCCUAUGGGUUGUAAACUUCUUUUGUCAGGGAGCAAUUGGGUCCACGUGUGGGCUUAGCGAGAGUACCUGAAGAAAAAGCAUCGGCUAACUCCGUGCCAGCAGCCGCGGUAAUACGGAGGAUGCGAGCGUUAUCCGGAUUUAUUGGGUUUAAAGGGAGCGUAGGCCGGCUUUUAAGUCAGCUGUGAAAGUCCGCGGCUCAACCGUGGAAUUGCAGUUGAAACUGGA